GUCGUCGUCAAUGGUCAAUGUAACGUCUUUUAGACACUUUAAAAAGGCAAAAACAAAAGCUGGAUUUAAAGAAAACACUUUAAAAAGAUGCUGCAUAUGGCGGUUCAUCAUAUGAUUCGUUUCUAAUGACACUCCCACAAGAUCUGAUCAUCCAGAGCAAACAGAAGAGUCUUGUAUGUUGUAUCUAAAGAUCAUGAGAAGAUAAAGAAGAAGCUGACAGGAUAAAUGGAGGAAUUCUUAGAAGACAAAACUCAGAGUUAAGAGACUUUACAAUACAAGUAACAGAAAUGUCUACAUGUGAGAUGAUAGUUUUUCUCAGCGCUCAUGUUAACAGGUUAAAGCAUUCACACAGUCCACAGAAGCAGCACAUGCUCGUGUAGCUGUACAGUGUUGAAGCAUUAGUUUAUUUGAUAAAAGCUAAAGCCAUGAUUCUGUACAAUAUGAAAUGAUUUGACAUUUAAUUCUCUUGUCCAAAACAGCCUUAUUAAUAAACUAAAAAGUAAAAUACUAAAGACAAUUUUUUCCUACAUUUACAAAACAUGUGAUUAUCAAUACAAAACUGUUUGACAUAUCAUAAAAAAAUAAGGCACUGUAGUUUAAAUCAUAAAAUUCGAUCACUUUAACUCCUGAAGCUGCCUGUAAUGUGAUUGUAUGGCAUGAGACAGUGUGUUUGGUCAUUGAGUUAUACAGCCUGUCCCACAUUGUGUGACUCCUCCCCCACAUCAUCAUAGUCUGUUGUGUAAAAAGUACAUUCACAUUUUUAUGUUAAUUGCACAAAGAUGUAAACCCAAUUUUAAGUGUCUUUCAAUGGACAUUAUAAAGAUGUAACUUAGAAUAUACAUAUUUUACUGAAAUUAAAACCUACCUAACAUGUUUGUCA